ensembl:lncRNA netrin receptor UNC5C-like
AGCCCGUGGAGACUGCUCCAUCCCCGGCUCACACACUCCUCCACACGGCUCACACUGCUGAGGAGGCUGGACAGAGAGGGGACCCCGCUGGAGGACUUCGAGCAUGAAUCUACCAUCAAGGCAUCGAUCCACACCUUUAAACCAACCCAGAGGAAAACAAACGGAGAGCGCUUUUAACACCACAUCUGUUUGUUUGUUUGUUCCAUCGUUAGAAGCGAUGCACCUAGAAAUCACUCUAUAAACUGUCACAUGUUGGUGAAAUCUCAGCGCUGCUGGAUCCUUGGUUUUUUAUCUCUCUCUCUGAGCUGAUUUUUUUAUUUUUAUUUGGAACACCGCAGUGACCGAGCUUUUCCAGACGUUUUUUUUAAAAAAAAUUUUCUCCCAUAAAGACUUUACACUUGCAGUCAUGAUCCGGAGCGCUCGGAGUGACAGAGAGGGGAGAAGAGCCAGACUGUGCCCGGAGAUGCUCACCCUGUCCGGGCUGCUGCUCUGGCUGCUGCUGCUGGAUGUCGGCGGAGCUCAAGUUGAUGAUGACUUCAUUGGUCUGGGUGAAUUGCCAGAAACAUUUCCUUCGGAUCCCCCAGAGCCACUUCCAGUGUUUUUGAUGGAACCGGAGGAAGCCUACAUAGUCAAGAAUAAGCCAGUCAACCUGUACUGCAAAGCCACACCUGCCACUCAGAUCUACUUCAAGUGCAACAGUGAAUGGGUUCACCAGAAGGAGCACACCGUGGAAGAGAGGGUCGACGAGAACUCUGGGCUCGUGGUGAGAGAGGCCAGCAUUGAAAUCACUCGUCAGCAGGUGGAGGAGCUGUUUGGGCCGGAGGACUUCUGGUGUCAGUGUGUGGCCUGGAGCUCCGCUGGGACCACCAAGAGCCGUAAAGCUCAUGUUCGCAUUGCCUAUUUGAGGAAGACUUUUGACCAAGAACCUCUGGGAAAGGAGGUUUCACUCGAACAGGAAGUGUUGCUGCAGUGUCGCCCACCUGAAGGCAUCCCAGCUGCUGAGGUGGAGUGGCUGAAAAAUGAGGAAGUUAUCGAUCCUGCUGAUGACAGAAACUUCUACAUCACCAUCGACCACAACCUGAUUAUCAAACAGGCCCGUCUCUCAGACACUGCCAACUAUACCUGUGUGGCUAAAAACAUCGUGGCAAAAAGAAGAAGCACAACCGCCACAGUCAUCGUAUACGUGAAUGGUGGAUGGUCAACCUGGACAGAGUGGUCAGUGUGUAACAGCCGCUGCGGCCGUGGUUACCAAAAGCGCACACGCAGCUGCACCAACCCGGCGCCUCUCAAUGGCGGAGCCAUCUGCGAAGGUCAAGGCAUCCAGAAGCUACCAUGUAAUCCUCUCUGCCCAGUGGAUGGCCUAUGGACAGAGUGGAGUAAGUGGUCCACCUGUGGGACAGAGUGCACCCACUGGAGGAGGAGAGAAUGCAGCGCCCCAGCUCCUAAAAAUGGGGGAAAGGACUGUGAGGGCCUGGUGCUGCAGUCCAAGAACUGCACCGAUGGGCUGUGCAUGCAGAUGGCCCCCAGCACGGAUGAUGUGGCUCUCUAUGUGGGUAUUGUCAUCGCCGUGAUCAUGUGUCUGGUUAUCUCCCUGGCCGUGGCGCUAUUCGUCUACAGGAAAAACCACAGAGACUUUAACUCUGACAUCAUCGACUCCUCCGCCCUCAAUGGAGGCUUUCAACCAGUCAGCAUCAAGACAGCACGCAAAGCGGAUCUCCUCACAGCACCCCCUGAUCUGACCUCAGCAGCUGCAAUGUACCGCGGCCCCGUUUACGCCCUUCACGACGUGGCUGACAAAAUCCCCAUGACCAACUCCCCUCUGCUGGACCCGCUUCCAAACUUGAAGAUUAAGGUGUACAACUCCUCAGGUUUGGUGACCCCACAGGAUGACCUGGGAGGGGAAUUAUCCUCUAAGCUGUCACCUAAACUGCCGCACUGCCUGCUGGAUCACAGUGACGGCACCAUGGGCCGCCGCACACAGACCCAGACACUGCUCCGUGGCAGGGACCCAUCCUGCACCGCUCUGGGCUCCUUCAGCUCCCAGGGGGGCCACCUCAUUGUACCCAACUCAGGUAACAUUUACUCAGGAUACUCUGUGUAUUUUGAUCCCAAAAAAACAAAAAAUAGCUACAAAUAUUCCUAUGCUAGCCUUGUGAUGUUGGCUCAACGUUGGCUCAUUACACCUGGUGUCUUCUCUCAUUGGCAGGAUUCUCAGAACAUAGACACGUCUCUGUUGGACCCUGCCAGCAACAUCACGUCACUCGUGGGGCCAAACGCCUUCCGUAUCCCCGUCUCCAUCCGACAGAAGUUGUGUGGCAGCCUGGAUGCUCCGCAGACCAGAGGCAAUGACUGGAGGAUGUUAGCCCACAAACUGAACCUUGACAGGUAUCUGAACUACUUUGCUACCAAAUCCAGCCCUACAGGAGUGAUCCUAGACCUGUGGGAGGCUCAGCAUUUUCCUGACGGCAACCUCAGCCGCCUUGCCCAAGUGUUGGAGGAGAUGGGACGCCACGACGGCCUUCUUCCUGCCAUGAUGGAGCACUGACAUCUAACCCUCCAGGGGAUGUGACAUUCCAGGGAGGAAGAAGACUCCAAAUGGAUCGGAAAAUGGAGGCUCCUAUAAGCAGGAGAGUGGUGUGGCAUCUCAGUGACAAACACACACACACACACACACACUCAAAGAUGUGAGAUGACGGGAAGAGCCAUGACCCAGUUAGACACCGGCAACAAAUGGUGUAAAAACAACCUUGUGGAGUAAACAACAUUCCCUGGCUGUUCCCUUUUCUCUCAACACACGUCAAACAUUGACUUCAGAUUUUUUGGCUUGUUUUGAUGGACUCUCGGUAUAACAGGAGACAAAUGUCAGAGGUCCGAAAAAAAGUCAAAAGAUGAAGAUUUUGUCAGCGGGACCAUCUCUCAGGCUUCUAAACAGUUUCCAUAGCAACUCCCCAUGGACAAGGAUGUACUUUCUGAUAAGAUGGUAUUUAAUUUCCAGCUUAUUUAUGCAUAUCUGAUAUCGUAUUUCAUGCUCUCUGUUGCUGAACACUUUGCAGUGUAAAGGUUUGUGUUCCUUUUAUUAUGUUGAACUGUAUCACAGCACCACCUGGUGGCCUUCUGGUGCUAGAACAACUCAUUCUGUCUGCCACAUUUAGAAAAAAUCAACAAUCAAGUUAGAAUUUUAGUGUCAUUGCUGUUGAUGACAAUUUUAUAUUUGUGUUAUUGAAAUUAUUGAUGCUGUUAGGUGCAUUUCUUUUAUAUUGUUUUUUUUUUCUUUUUUAAAGGGUUAUUAAUUAUUUUUAACAUUCUGAAUUGUUGAUCAUGUUUCUUUAAUCUGUGACUUUGUAUUUCUUGGCAACUUACAUUUCUACGAUUUAUAGAGCAGUCAAAACAUUUCCCAAAACAUGCAGAUGACUUAACAUUCUGUUUAAAGAUGAUAUUACUCAUGCUAACUGUGCCAGGCAGACGAGGACACUUUAGAACAAGAUAUUUAAAAUAUAUUUUUAUAAAAAGAAACAAGUGCAAGAGAAAGCAACUGCUUUUUACCAAAUAAUUCACACGCAUACGAUGUUUUGAGGGUGAAUUCACGACAGAAAGGGUUCAUUUCCCAUUAGGAUCACUGAGAUUGUAACUCAGUGUUUCUGAUAAUGUUCAGGAUGUUUGUAGACUUAUAACAGCAGAAUGUGCGACUUUUCAAGUGUUCUUUGUUGGCCAUUAAACUUGAUUCAGUUUUCUAAGUUGUUAGAGUUCUUGUAAAGCUGUCUAUGCAAACUGUGCAUCCUUUGAAAACAAUCUUUUCACACUCGGCAAAUUCUCUAUGGUUCUUCUUCUGCUUUCUUAUUGUUGUGUAUAGUGAGAAUGUAGCCUGUCUGUUUCUGGCACUCAGCAUCUAUCCGUCAAGGUAUUGUACAAAGUGUAAGAAAGAUUUUUUUUUUUUUAAUUAUUAUUAUUAAUAAUAAUAAAUUAUAUUUAUAUGCAACA